rnacentral:lncRNA from 1 species
UUGAAAAUUAUAUUUUAUUAAGCGAACAUUGGAAGUAUGGAAUAAUUAAUCAAGUAAUUCAGAUAUCUAACUUUCGUUGCCUGCUAUUUCCCGUCAUAAGCCAAUAUGCAUAAUAUCUGUAUAUCAUUUUAUUCUUUAAGAACUAGGGGAUGGGAAGGCUUGAAAACAUUCUAAAAGCUUCUCAUAUUUUUUGACAGUUCCUAAAUUGCUAUCCUCUAGCUCACCAUCUUGAAAAAUCAAUCUUUAGCUUUUGAGAUGAGAUUGUGAGAGAAUAGAGGUUAAUUUCUGACAUAUAAGUU